GACAGAGGGUGCAAACGUUGUUCGGAAUUACUGGGCGUAAAGCGUGUGUAGGUGGCUGCGUAAGUCGGAUGUGAAAGCCCUGGGCUCAACUCAGGAAGUGCACCCGAUACUGCGUAGCUCGAGUACCGGAGAGGUUGGUAGAAUUCUCGGUGUAGAGGUGAAAUUCGUAGAUAUCGAGAGGAAUACCUGUGGCGAAGGCGGCCAACUGGACGAGUACUGACACUGAGACGCGAAAGCGUGGGGAGCGAACAGG
rnacentral:rRNA from 1 species